AUUGAACGCUGGCGGCAGGCCUAACACAUGCAAGUCGGACGGUAGCACAGAGGAGCUUGCUCCUUGGGUGACGAGUGGCGGACGGGUGAGUAAUGUCUGGGGAUCUGCCCGAUAGAGGGGGAUAACCACUGGAAACGGUGGCUAAUACCGCAUAACGUCGCAAGACCAAAGAGGGGGACCUUCGGGCCUCUCACUAUCGGAUGAACCCAGAUGGGAUUAGCUAGUAGGCGGGGUAAUGGCCCACCUAGGCGACGAUCCCUAGCUGGUCUGAGAGGAUGACCAGCCACACUGGAACUGAGACACGGUCCGGACUCCUACGGGAGGCAGCAGUGGGGAAUAUUGCACAAUGGGCGCAAGCCUGAUGCAGCCAUGCCGCGUGUAUGAGGAAGGCCUUCGGGUUGUAAAGUACUUUCAGCGGGGAGGAAGGCGGUGCGGUUAAUAACCGCGCCGAUUGACGUUACCCGCAGAAGAAGCACCGGCUAACUCCGUGCCAGCCGCCGCCGUAA
rnacentral:rRNA from 1 species